AAGUCGUAACAAGGUUUCCGUAGGUGAACCUGCGGAAGGAUCAUUACUGAGAGCCCGGUAUAGGUAGCCCUAACCAGCUGCCUACAUCGUGUGCCUUCUUCUACCCUUUGUUUAUGAGCACCUUUUUUUAUUCCUCGGUAGGGAGACCUGCCGCUGGAAUCAUUCUUAAACUCUUGCAUCUAGCAUUCUAAAUUCUGAUAACCUAAUUAAUUAUUACAACUUUCAACAAUGGAUCUCUUGGUUCUG
rnacentral:misc_RNA from 1 species